rnacentral:rRNA from 1 species
AUGAACGCUGGCGGCGUGCCUAAUCCAUGCAAGUCGAGCGAACGGACGAGAAGCUUGCUUCUCUGAUGUUAGCGGCGGACGGGUGAGUAACACGUGGAUAACCUACCUAUAAGACUGGGAUAACUUCGGGAAACCGGAGCUAAUACCGGAUAAUAUUUUGAACCGCCUGGUUCAAAAGUGAAAGACGGUCUUGCUGUCACUUAUAGAUGGAUCCGCGCUGCAUUAGCUAGUUGGUAAGGUAACGGCUUACCAAGGCAACGAUGCAUAGCCGACCUGAGAGGGUGAUCGGCCACACUGGAACUGAGACACGGUCCAGACUCCUACGGGAGGCAGCAGUAGGGAAUCUUCCGCAAUGGGCGAAAGCCUGACGGAGCAACGCCGCGUGAGUGAUGAAGGUCUUCGGAUCGUAAAACUCUGUUAUUAGGGAAGAACAUAUGUGUAAGUAACUGUGCACAUCUUGACGGUACCUAAUCAGAAAGCCACGGCUAACUACGUG